GACGGGGGAUGCAAGUGUUAUCCGGAAUCACUGGGCGUAAAGCGUCUGCAGGUGGUUUCCUAAGUCCACUGUUAAACCUUGAGGCUCAACCUCAAAUCUGCAUUGGAAACUAGGAGACUUGAGUAUAGUAGGGGUAGAGGGAAUUUCCAGUGGAGCGGUGAAAUGCGUAGAUAUUGGAAAGAACACCGAUGGCGAAAACAGGUUGCUGGGAGUGUGCUGACGCUGAGACACGAAAGCAGGGGAGCAAACGGG
rnacentral:rRNA from 1 species